CAGUAGCCGCGGGAAUACGGAGGAUCCAAGCGUUAUCCGGAUUUAUUGGGUUUAAAGGGUGCGUAGGCGGCCUAUUAAGUCAGGGGUGAAAGACGGUAGCUUAACUAUCGCAGUGCCUUUGAUACUGAUGGGCUUGAAUACACUUGAGGUAGGCGGAAUGUGACAAGUAGCGGUGAAAUGCAUAGAUAUGUCACAGAACACCAAUUGCGAAGGCAGCUUACUAAAGUGUGAUUGACGCUGAGGCACGAAAGCGUGGGGAUCAAACAGGAUUAGAUACCCCGGUAGUCCCUGUCUCUUAUAC
rnacentral:rRNA from 1 species